rnacentral:tRNA from 1 species
GGCCAGUUAGCUCAGUUGGUUGAGUGUGGUUCUAAUAACACCAAGGUCGUGGUUCGAUCCCUGUUUGGUCC